CCUAAUUUACAAGACACUAUUAAAUCAGUACAUAUUACCGAGAUGACCUGAACUAAAGUAAACAUGACUGCGUUGCCGAGUACCGGACUAGGAUCGAUUUGAACCGUUGCUGUGUGGAGUAUAAAUUCCAACCUGGACGCUUUUAUUAAUUAACAUAGUAGCCGGCUUAAUAACCGUCUCUUAAGGUGGAUGGCGACAUUUACGUUAUUGAGAGUAUGUCAAUGGGCGUCGGCGACCACUGAGCACCAGAAAUCUGACGGAUAUUAUUGAAGUUUGUUGUUUGCCAAGCCAUCGACCGGUCGGUAUUGCCGUCAGUCUCUAUUGACCACUUGGCUUGUCAAUCAUGCCAACUGGUCAAGUUUGGGCGCGGCGGGGAGCUCAGCGGGCGACUGAAAUUUUUGCUUAGGACUCUAUUAUUAUUAUUACCUUGGAUAUAUAUCCACGAUUCUACAUAAAAUUGAUCAUGCCAUAUCGUGUUGGGGUCGCGUCGCUGUUGUAUUUAUUUACAAAAUAAAAUUUGAUAAAUGUAAGAAGAA